UACGGGGCGCAGCAGUGGGAAUUUUGGACAAUGGGGGAAACCCUGAUUCCAGCCAUCCCGCGUGUGCGAUGAAGGCCUUCGGGUUGUAAAGCACUUUUGGCAGGAAAGAAAACGGCACGGGAUAAUACCCUGCGCAACUGACGGUACCUGGGCAGAAUAAGCACCGGCUAACUACGUGCCAGCAGCCGCGGUAAUACGUAGGGUGCAAGCGUUAAUCGGAAUUACUGGGCGUAAAGCGCAGGCGGUUCGGAAAGAAAGAUGUGAAAUCCCAGAGCUUAACUUUGGAACUGCAUUUUUAACUACCGAGCUAGAGUGUGUCAGAGGGAGGUGGACUCGCGUGUAGCAGUGAAAUGCAGAGGGAGGAACACCGAUUAUGAAGGCAGCCUCCUGGGAUAACACUGACGCUCAUGCACGCUGGGAGCAACAGAUUAGGAUACCUCUGUAGU
rnacentral:misc_RNA from 1 species